AUAUAGGCGACAGAAGACUAACUCAGCCAAAACCGUAAAAAAAACACUCACAGCAACACAAAGGAAGUCUCCAAUCUUGCCUGCUGUGACACUACCAUGGACUGUGGCACUGGCCAGAUAGAUGCGGCAGAUCGUAAAGAUGAUGAUGAUGAUGAUGAAGUCCAGUACGCCAGUGUCCAGUUUAAGCCCAACAAACAGCAGGAAGUGCCCAGCCAGGAAGAGGACAUCCAGUACGCCAGCGUCCAGUUCAGCAAGUCCAAACCAGAGUCUACAAUCCCUGAGCCGCCUCUGUCUGGCAUUCCACAGGAGGAGACCAAGUACGCCUCACUGAAUCUGCAGGGACUCAGUGCUGCCCCCCAAGGCUGAAUCUGUGAUCUACAGUGCCAUCAAUACACAUUCCAAACCAUAACAGCAAGAGAGCACGGUUUGAAGAAGACUACAGCCUGAUUUUAAAAUUGUCUGAUGAUAACUAGUGUUUGCAGUGAUGUGUGUAUUUAUUAAUCAAAUGU